GUAGGUGGCAAGCGUUGUCCGGAAUUAUUGGGCGUAAAGCGCGCGCAGGCGGUUCUUUAAGUCUGAUGUGAAAGCCCACGGCUCAACCGUGGAGGGUCAUUGGAAACUGGAGAACUUGAGUACAGAAGAGGAAAGCGGAAUUCCACGUGUAGCGGUGAAAUGCGUAGAGAUGUGGAGGAACACCAGUGGCGAAGGCGGCUUUCUGGUCUGUAACUGACGCUGAGGCGCGAAAGCGUGGGGGAGCAAACAGGAUUAGAUACCCUGGUAGUCCACGCCGUAAACGAUGAGUGCUAAGUGUUAGGGGGUUUUCCGCCCCUUAGUGCUGCAGCUAACGCAUUAAGCACUCCGCCCCGGGUAGUACGGCCGCAAGGCUG
rnacentral:rRNA from 1 species